UGAUCCACCCGCCUCAGCCUCCCAAAGUGCUAGGAUUACAGGCAUGAGCCACCACUCCCAGCCAGCUCUUUCUUAUAGUAGAAUUCCAACUAGAAAAUGUAGAAGGAAUGAGGGAAAUAGAAAGUCACUAUUCAAACACUACAGUAAUAAUUUUUGUAGGUAAGAACCAUUAUAGGAUGUUGCAUUAGAGUUCUUCAGAGAAACAGAACUGGUAGUAGAUAAACAGGACUAGUAGGAGAUAGGUAGGUAGGUGGGUAGACAGAUUUUUUUUUUCAAGGAAUUGACUUUGUGUGAUUGUGGGGGAUGGCAAGUCCAAAAUUCGUAGGGCAGGCUGGCAAGCUGGAAACCCCUGGGGAGGAGCUGAAGCUGUAGUGUUAAAGCAAAAUUUCCUCUUCCUCUAGGAAACCUGUUUUGCUCUUAAUGUCUUUCAAUUCAUUGGGUGAGGGCACUCACAUUAUCAAGGAUAAUCUCUUUUACUUAACAUCAACUUAUUGUAAAU
rnacentral:lncRNA from 1 species